GAUGAACGCUGACAGAAUGCUUAACACAUGCAAGUCCACUUGAAUUUGGGUUUUUAACUUAGGUUUGGGUGGCGGACGGGUGAGUAACGCGUAAAGAACUUGCCUCACAGCUAGGGACAACAUUUGGAAACGAAUGCUAAUACCUAAUAUUAUGAUAAUAGGGCAUCCUAUAAUUAUGAAAGCUAUAAGCGCUGUGAGAGAGCUUUGCGUCCCAUUAGCUAGUUGGAGAGGUAACGGCUCACCAAGGCGAUGAUGGGUAGCCGGCCUGAGAGAGUGAUCGGCCACAAGGGGACUGAGACACGGCCCUUACUCCUACGGGAGGCAGCAGUGGGGAAUAUUGGACAAUGGACCAAGAGUCUGAUCCAGCAAUUCUGUGUGCACGAUGAAGUUUUUCGGAAUGUAAAGUGCUUUCAGUUGGGAAGAAAGAAAUGACGGUACCAACAGAAGAAGAGACGGCUAAAUACGUG
rnacentral:rRNA from 1 species